rnacentral:lncRNA from 1 species
AAUCAAAAGAGAAUACAAUUAGAUUUAAACCUUGAUUGAAAGUUAACCACAAAAAGUGAACAUUCCAAGGUAUUACAAUCAUGAAAGCAUCUCUGCCAUAAGAUAGUUUCUUAUUUGGAACAUCAAACUAAAAAACAAAGGACAACAAAAGAUACUUAAUACUCAAUAGGAACAGGCUGAAGACCAUUAUCAAUUGAAGCUUUCACAGCAUCAAUAACCACUUGAGUUUUCCUACUAAUAAUUGCCCACUUAUUCUCAACUUUAGAAUUCCCAUACUUAAUCCCACCAACCAAAUGAGCAAAUUCCUUAACCAUAAGUGCUUCUUGUGGAAUAUCAUUUUUAACUACAACCUCACUUGGUUUAGGAUUCCAACCAGCAGAAAGUUCAAGAAAAUAAGAAUUUGAACUUGUUCUAAACAAAGCCUCAUUCUCUUCAUUAGGUAUAACAUAAUCAUGAACACGCAAUGACCCUUUUGCCCCUAUUGCUGUUAUAUCCAUAGACAUGUCUGCUAAAAAGGAACAAAAGAAAGUUGCUACUUUGUUAUCUUCCCAUGUCAAAGAAGCUUCACAUGACAGAAGUACCCCUGCUUCAUUGUAUUUUGGUUUGUGUAAUGCUUUUGCUGUUUUGGGUAAUUCGUAGUUUGCAGCCCAUAAGAUUGCUCUAAUGCAGUACCAACCAGUAUCACCUAGUGUUCCUAGUGAAUCAAGAUCUGGUUUUACACGAAUGUCGUUUGCUAGGAAAUAUGGACUCGUCGGGUAUGAAAAUGUAGCAUGUACCUGCAAUUAAAUAUAUAUACUUAACGACACAAACCAUCAUUGACGAACUUAGAUCUAAUUUGACAAUCUUGACAUAGACCAAUUAUUUUUUGUUGUUUGUGUUAAACCAAUGAUAUACUCUGAGCACGCACAAUUAAAUGUGGAGAAAAAGGGUAUCCGUAUAACAUAAUUAUAUCUAUGUACGGUUAAAAUUAAAAGUUCCCUUUUAAUUUUAGUUUUGAGGAAUGAUGUCAAAAGUUGGUAUAAUAUUUGCAUAUAUAAACUACAAUACAAUCCCCCCGCCCCGUCUAAGAUAAAAUAUUUUACAUAUUUAUUGACAAAGUUAUCUUUAAUUCAAUUAAUAAAAUAAAUUUUAGAUAAUUAGUCUAAAUUUUUUUGUUUCUCCAACGAUAAAAGAAUAAUAUUCGUAGUUUUUUCCCUCAAAAAAAAAAAAAAUUUAACAAAAAUUGAAACAUGAGAAAGGAUGGAUGAAUCAUACCGAUUGAAGGGAACCAAAGAGAUUAGGAUCAGAUAUAAACUGAAACAUUUUUUCAGUUCUAGGAUGAUGCAUCCACAUAGUAGCAUCCAUAUACUGCAAUCCAUUAGAUUCACAAGCUUCCAAAAUCUUAUCAAGUUCCCCAACAUUUAAAGCAACUGGUUUCUCAAGCAACAAGUGUUUCUUCUUUUGAGCAGCAAGAACUGCCCAAUGAAGGUGCAAGCUAGUCGGAAGCGGCACAUAGACCGCGUCAACGUCUGGAUCGUCUAAAACGGCGUCGUAUGAACCGUAUAUUUUUGUAUGGGAAGGGAAAUUAUUGGAAGCUGCAUAUUUUGUUGCUUUCUCUAAUGAACGGCUUCCAAUUGCGUAGAGGGUUGAGUUUGGUGAGAGGGUUAUGGCUCUUGAAACUUUUCUUGCUAUCUCUGCACAACCAAGGAUUCCAAAUCUUAUUGGUUUUGUUUCUUCAUGAGCCAUAU